rnacentral:lncRNA from 1 species
GAUCUACACACAGUGAUUUUUCAGCCCAGAAGCCUGAGUGCCCUGAGCCUGAUCUGGGCCACCCACAUGGUUGUUUUUUUUAUCCCUCAUACAGUCUUCCCAGUCGGUGGAGGGUUCAACUGGGUAAUUUGAUUGGUGGGUGGGCUGGGGCGGUGAGAGAACAAGACGCAGAAAAUAAUAGCGUGACCCUAGAAAAAGCGAGCAAGAGAGCUAGUUGCCAGUGCCCUCCCUCUGCGCACCAGAUGCUUGGUUCUACGUGUCACCUUCCCCUCUAGGCGCUGCAAGGGAGGUAACUUGGAUUCACCCAGGUGCCGGAGGGCUGGAACCAGGUGCCACUGGCCCUUGGGCUGCUGCGAGUCAAACUGUCCCCUCCCCCCUCGCUGGCAAAUGCCCCUGUCCAGGUUGCUGCGACUUUAAUGCGAAACCGAAAGCGAAAGGCACCGAAUCCACUGGAAUUAAAUUUCCCCAAACUCUUCUGCGGACUUUUCCAGGCGCCUGGGGCGGAUCCGCCGAGCCGGGACUUUGCGCCCUCACUCACAUGCCCCCCUUUCUGCUGCCUUUCGGGGCUGAAACGUCCCCAGCCUGAUACCCUAAUGAAGCUGCCUACGUCCCGGCCCCAGCCGCCGCCGCCGGGGAUCUGACCCUGCGCCCCCGUCCUGGAGAGGCUGGCGCCCUUCCCUAGCUCUUCCCAUGCCAUGGCCCGGCUGCUGCUCUUGUUGUGCGGCAGCGUCGGGCUCCUGUCCGCCUGCACCAGCGCGGCCGCGCUGCAAGAAAGAUGCAGCACACCAAAGGAGGUCAACAAUGCAGAUGUUACGGUCGGCAAUAAUAAUCUGUUGAAUGCCAGCCUCCGGUACACAUGCAAAGAUGGUUACAAAAGGAAAGCUGGGACAUCCAGUCUCAUUGUGUGUGUAAUGGACAAAGUCACCAAAACACUCCGUUGGACCGAGCCAAAUCUACAUUGUAUUAGGGACCCUGCUCUACCUCCUGUAACUUCCAGCCCCAAACAGACAACAUCAGCACCUAGGACAGAGGCGACUAGUCUUGUCAGCAAAGAAUCAAAGACUUUUACACCAUCUAAACCACCAGUAACUGCAGAGAUUACCACAGUCCCAGUCAUGGCCUCCACACCAUCCUAUGAAAGGGAGAUCACUUCACCACUAGCAGGCCCCGUCUCACAGCUCAGGACUGACAAGCCUUCACGGGAAACACUUGCACCAGCAACAACUGAGAUCAGGUCAUCAAAGGGGCCUGCUUGCGUGAGCACGGAAGACACAACACAACGGCGCACCACAGCCACGCAGGACACACACACGACCCAGCUCUGGACGGAUGAGCCAUUGUUGGAAACAGUUACAACAGAAGGAGAUUGGUCAACAGCAGUGCCAACCAGUGUGACCACAGGAGACUCAACACAGCUUCUCACCGCAGUCACCCAUAACACUAAAGGUGCUACACGUCGAGCUUGACUUUCUGAUCUCCCCACCCAUCCGCCCACAGAUGCGCCUACUGGGUCUCCCCAACUCCUCCCUCAUCGUCUUUCACCACCCCACCCCACUCUCUGGGUCCACACCUUGUGGGUCUUGAAGCCUCUUCAGCCCCACUGGGUUGCUUAGACCCUUCGUUCUUUCACCCUCCUCCAGCUCUCUCAAUUCACACUGUAUCUCUGGGCCUCCUUACUGUCUCUCCCAAUCCGUCAUAUAGACGAAGACAACAGCAUCUCUAUACCUUCUGCACUGGCCUCAGGGGUGGGGAGUUGUGAAGCGGGCCUGGAAAGGAGGAGGAAGAGGAAGAAGAGGAGCUGCCCGUCCCUAGUCACGCAGUACUCCUCCAGCCCUGUGUUCACAUCACUGGGCAAGGGGCCUAGGCAGCGCACAUUGACCCAGCCACCUCAGCUGAGUAGGAGUGAGGCACACUAAAUCCUACCUCACAAAAGCCUGCGGAGAUACCUCAGCCCCAACCCAGCUAGCUAACCAAGCACAUUAAUAAACUUGCCUGUUCGCCUUCA